GUUUUCGGGGACGAAGAGGGUGUAGGAGGAUUGGGUGAAGGUCGGGGCGUUGUCGUUGACGUCGGAGACCAGCACAGUGAUGUUGUGCUGGGUUUUGAGCCUUGGUGUCCCCAGGUCGGUGACGGUGAUGGUGAUGUUGUACUCGGCCCUGGUCUCUCUGUCUAGUGGUCCUUCUGUCACCAGGGUAUAGAAAUUCAUAAAUGUUGGUUUCAGAAUAAAGGGCAGAUUGUCUGGAAUAGAGCAAAUCAUCUUCCCAUUGUCACCAGAAUCUCUGUCUCCUACUCGGAAGAUGGACACGACCGUCUCAGGAGCAUUUUCUGGAAUGGAGCUGCUGAGUGAAGUUAUGGAAUGUGAGAACUUCACAAAGAUGGAAAAUUUUAAGAUAUUCUGUACCACAUGGUCCAAAAUUCAUAAUUUUUCAAAGUAGGUUUUAAAAAUUAUAAUUCUGUAAAAUAUAUCUCGUUUUGUAUUGUCUUUUAGAGUGUGAAGCUACAUUAAAUUUAGCAAUAAUGCCAAAUAAUAUUAGAACCUAUAUUAGAAGCCAAUUCUAAUAACUGGAAAGAAAAUAAAAAAUAGUUUAGAGAUAAAGAUACUAAAUCCCAGAUGGUGAUAGGACUUCUAUUGCUAUUUUCAGGAUAAUAUCAUGACAAAAAUUAGGUAUGUAAAAAUGUCAUGGAUAAAAACAUAUGAUAAAAUCUUAAGCUUGGUUCAUUUAACUAGAUAGGUAUAAUCUAUAUUUUAUAAGAGUUUGCCUGUUACCACACUCACCCUUUGUUUACCAAGUACCAUAUUCCUGGACCAGCUUGCUUUGAGUGCAAAUAUGAG
rnacentral:lncRNA from 1 species